AGGUUGAUCCGCCGAUUACGGAGGCAUCAAGCGGCGCUGCCGUCAACGGACUGAAACAGUUGAACUCGAAAAGCGCGGCCACAUCGUCCCGGGAGUGGUCCAAACCGUGAUGUUUCAUCACCACCAACAAAUCGUUGAUUGGUAGCCGCUACAAAAUCGCGAUCGGUGUCGGUCAGCGGAAAUGUUUCGAAAAUUCUUUUUAAACACUAUACAAUAAUUUUAAAAUUGUUGUUAAAGCAAAAACAGGCAACUUUCAGGAAAUAAAAACGUUAAACAAAACAAAUGACCAUCCGGAUGACAGGUGACCGAAAAACAAACAAGUUUGGCACGUUUAAGCAAAAUCCACAGAAAAACCAAAAAAUCUGCCGAAAAGUACGGUUGGUGUCUUGGAUAAUAUAGUUCUCCCAUUGACCGCCGAAAGGGGCACAUGCAUACACACCAAAAACGGACAACCGAAUUCAUCGUCUAAUUAUUUACUUUCUGGAAUGUUUAAUGAAUUAGAUUUUGUGCGAAUGAUUAUUUAUUGUUCAAAACAGAUUAAUCAGAUGAAUUUAUGUUAUCCGAGUUGAUCAAAAAAUUUAAUGUUUAUCAAAGUGCGAAAUUUUGUUCGACAAAUCGGCGCUGUUAGGCAAGGCUCCGUAUGAUUCUUUUGCAGAGUGUAGUGUCCAGCGUGUUUUUGUUUUGCUCCAACUUUUUUCUAUUUUUUUUUUGUUUUUGUUGUUUGAUGGAGGGUAAAUAAUUAUUAGUGAAAAUCGUGCAAAUACGGUUCGCGGAUUUUCCGAAUAGUAUUUCAGGUAAGUCAAAGUUGCCAAGAGAAAUUUAUGCAUCGGUGGCUGGGAACUGCAACUGAAAUUAUUCUGUUGUUCUGUUAUCUUCAAUCUUUAUAGAACCGAGCAGACUCCCGCCGCGGUUGCGUUCCUGUUUCAUGGGCCGCCAAAAUUUAAUGAUGUUUUGGACGUUAACGCUCUGACUCAACAACGCAAGCGGGCAAUCUUGCACUAGGACUUCUUAGUGCAGGUGGAAUGAACCUUACAGGACUUCAGUCGACCAAAUGCCAUGCUCGCUCGGGUCGUUGGCAAUCUUAACGGAAAAGAUUGCAGCUUCAUUUUUAAAAUCAAAAAACAGCUUGCUAAACAUCGCUGAAUGAGAUGUUGAUUCAGACACCGCCACUACUCCCCAGCACAGGUACAGUUGAAGUUCUUAGUAAACUUUGUAACUGACGUUUCUUCACCUGAAUAAGAUCAACAGCAGCGCGAAUUGCUGCUAGUCGAUCUUUUACA